AGCGCCAGGACUGAAAAGCGUUUUGUGUGUUUUUUUAUAAUUCGCCUUUCAGUUGACGAGGAUGGGGAGUUAUCGAAUCAUUCGGCGGGUGCCCCACGGUAUUCACACUACCGUAAACGGUCGGCAAAAAUGCGGAGUAAUCCGCGUCACAAAUCCGA
rnacentral:ncRNA from 1 species